CGGAGGCGGAGCCUGGGGGCGGGUUUUAAUGCUCCUUCAGUCUCGCCCCCAGCUCCCUGCCCUCUCCGUUAUCUCCCAUCAGUGGAGGAGUGGAAAUGUCUGGUCUGAGCAGGGCAGACCCCGGCGUGACCCCUCACUCUCCUGCUUUUCCUGUACUCCUCAGCUCUCCCUUCUGUGGCCUCUGCUCCGCCCCAGGAGGACAGCCUGGAGGAGGAGGGAAUGGUUCCUGCCCUGACAGCCACGCCCGGGAAGCUCUCCCUUCUGUGGUCUCUGCUCUGCCCCAGGAGGACAGCCUGGAGGAAGAAGGAAUGGCUCCUGCCCUGACAGCCAGGCCCCGGGAAGGUGAGUGCCACUUGAUGCUUUCCUGAAAUAGCAUCUCAAGCCAAAGACCUUGGCAUAAGUUUCUUUGUCCUGUGCUGUAACACUAGGAAUUGUGGCCAUCAGAGAAUCAUAUAACCACAGACACCACUGCAUCCUCUCCACACUGAGAAACAGAAAAAAGACAUUACAAUUACUUUGUGUUUUUUUUUUCUAAUUUUGACUUCUAAAUCCUUUCCCACCUUCCAGUCCUUCCCCCACCCUUUGAGAAGGGAAAAAUAGGAUAGCCAUUAUGGCUGUAAGGUAAUGCAGAACAGUUGUAUAUUAGCCCUG
rnacentral:lncRNA from 1 species